CUCAUUCUCUGUCUUCUUUGCUUGGCAAGCCAGCCAAGGAGGCCAAGGUGGCUUAGCUGGGCAACAAGAAAAUCUGUACAGAGUAGUAUUUAGAAAGUGGGUAUGACCAACAAUGUUUCUAGCCCAAAUAGCCCUGGAGGUUUUCUAAAACAGUGUUCAUCAGUCAGCGCUUCAAGGAUCACCGGCAGAUGCUGUCUCCCUCCCCCUAGAGAAGUCUCGAGUUGAAAGCUACUUCCCCUACCAAAACCUUGCUGUCCUCUUCCAUUCCCUCUCAUUAUUCAUUCAUUUAACAGAUAUUUGUAACAAGACAGGAAUGUGGUAAGUUGGGUGUUUUUCCCCCCAAUAUUUGUGCUCUUUUCUUUCUGACCUUUCUGUGACUUUC
rnacentral:lncRNA from 1 species